GUUGGUGAACCAGCGGAGGGAUCAUUACCGAGUUUUCAACUCCCAACCCCUGUGAACAUACCUAUCGUUGCUUCGGCGGACACGCCCCGGCGCCCCCGGGCCCGGACCAAGGCGCCCGCCGGAGGCCAAAAAACCACUGUGUAUUAUGUUUUCUUCUGAGUUAAACAAGCAAAUAAAUCAAAACUUUCAACAACGGAUCUCUUGGUUCUG
rnacentral:misc_RNA from 1 species